UACAGAGGGUGCGAGCGUUGUCCGGAAUCAUUGGGCGUAAAGCGCUCGUAGGCGGUCUGUUAUGUCGGAUGUGAAAGCCCUCGGCUUAACUGAGGAAGUGCAUCCGAAACUGGCAGGCUAGAGUACCAAAGAGGGUCGCGGAAUUCCCGGUGUAGAGGUGAAAUUCGUAGAUAUCGGGAGGAACACCGGUGGCGAAGGCGGCGACCUGGGUGGAUACUGACGCUGAGGUGCGAAAGCGUGGGGAGCAAACAGG
rnacentral:rRNA from 1 species